GUUUACAGAAACGCGACGCUUGAACUCACCUAACUACACGCAGCCCUCAUUAACUUCCGGCUAGCUUCCAUGCUAGCCGCUGCUUCUCUGUGGGAAGCAUUGCGACUGACAAGACCACCAAUGACCAGUCCUGAACUGGGCAUGCCUGCUGACCUUUAAGAGAAACAAGUGCUGUGACAGUUCAUGAAUGGAGGGAUGUUAUACUGAGACGGUUCAACACCUACACGCUGCCCUCUGAGAUUUAAUGGACAACCUGCUUCUUCAGUGCACUCUCUGAAUAAAUAGUGGGGAGGAAGUAUGGAAAGGAGGAAGGGAUCUAGUCUUCGCGACCUCCUGGGAAACCUCGGAGAGACGGAGGGAGCAGAUGUUGAGGAGGAGCCCUUCUAUUCU